CGCGGCCCCGCCCCCGGACGCCCAGCCGCGGUCCCAGCGACCUUCGCUUUCGUGGGGAAGCCGGACUGCGCCGUGUCUUCCUGAAGAAGGCUGGGGGAUCAGUGUCCUUCAGUGAUGUGGCUGUGGGCUUCACCCAGGAGGAGUGGCAGCAUCUGGACUCUGCUCAGAGGACCCCGUACAGAGACAUGAUGCUGGAGAACUACAGCCUCCUCCUCUCAGUGGGAUAUUGCAUUACCAAACCAGAGGUGGUUUGCAAGUUGGAGCAUGGACAGGUGCUGUGGAUAUUAGAGGAAGAGUCCCCAAGUCAGAGCCACCUAGACUGCUGCAUAGAUGAUGACCUGAUGGAGAAGAGACAGGAAAAUCAAGACCAGCAUUUGCAGAAAGUUGAUUUUGUCAACAAUAAAACACUGACUAUGGACAGAAAUGGUGUAUUAGGAAAAACAUUUUCUCUUGACACAAACCCCAUUCUAUCAAGAAAAAUACGUGGCAACUGUGACUCAUCUGGAAUGAAUUUGAAUAAUAUUUCAGAAUUAAUUAUUAGUAAUAGAAGCUCCUUUGUAAGGAACCC
rnacentral:lncRNA from 1 species